GACGAACGCUGGCGGCGUGCUUAACACAUGCAAGUCGAACGGAAAGGCCCUGCUUUUGUGGGGUGCUCGAGUGGCGAACGGGUGAGUAACACGUGAGUAACCUGCCCUUGACUUUGGGAUAACUUCAGGAAACUGGGGCUAAUACCGGAUAGGAGCUCCUGCUGCAUGGUGGGGGUUGGAAAGUUUCGGCGGUUGGGGAUGGACUCGCGGCUUAUCAGCUUGUUGGUGGGGUAGUGGCUUACCAAGGCUUUGACGGGUAGCCGGCCUGAGAGGGUGACCGGCCACAUUGGGACUGAGAUACGGCCCAGACUCCUACGGGAGGCAGCAGUGGGGAAUAUUGCACAAGGGGCGGAAGCCUGAUGCAGCAACGCCGCGUGCGGGAUGACGGCCUUCGGGUUGUAAACCGCUUUCGCCUGUGACGAAGCGUGAGGGACGGUAAUGGGUAAAGAAGCACCGGCUAACUACGU
rnacentral:rRNA from 1 species